AUCCAAGUAGUUUAACUUAGAAUAUUAAUUUGUGGUAUUAAUGGUAUAUUUAUAUCUUGGGUU
rnacentral:tRNA from 1 species